CGGGGAUUGCCCCAGUAGCGGCGAGUGAAGCGGCAAGAGCUCAGAUUUGAAAUCGUGUUUCGGCACGAGUUGUAGAGUGUAGGCGGGAGUCUCUGUGGAGCGCGGUGUCCAAGUCCCUUGGAACAGGGUGCCUGAGAGGGUGAGAGCCCCGUAGGGUGCUGCGCGAAGCUUUUGAGGCCCUGCUGACGAGUCGAGUUGUUUGGGAAUGCAGCUCCAAGCGGGUGGUAAAUUCCAUCUAAGGCUAAAUAUUGGCGAGAGACCGAUAGCGAACAAGUACUGUGAAGGAAAGAUGAAAAGCACUUUGAAAAGAGAGUGAAACAGCACGUGAAAUUGUUGAAAGGGAAGGGUAUUGGGCUCGACAUGGGGGGUGCGCACCGCUGUCUCUUGUAGGCGGCGCUCUGGGCGCCCUCUGGGCCAGCAUCGGUUCCUGCUGCGGGAGAAGGGGCUCCGGAAAGUGGCUCUUCGGAGUGUUAUAGCCGGGGCCAGAUGCCGCGUGUGGGGACCGAGGACUGCGGCUUCUGUCUCGGAUGCUGGCAUAACGGCGCAAUACCGC
rnacentral:rRNA from 1 species